rnacentral:lncRNA from 1 species
AUGGAGCUUCUGAAGGGAGCUGGGGUUGGCCUUUAUUUGAACAGCUGGUCUGCGGUGGUGGUGAGCCUCUCCAGCUGGGAGGAAGGGGGAGAAGAACUAGGGGAAGAGGGGAGGUCCUUGCAGUCUCUAGGGAGAAUUAUUAGGUGGUAUUCUGUUCCUUUGUUUCCCAGAGUCCCACGCUUCUGGGUGGCCAGCUGCCAGGCGAUCUCUAAGCACCUUCAGAGUGUUGCUAAACUGGGAGAGGGGGAUUACCAGGAGUGAGUUCAAGACUGGGAUCAGCAGUUUCAUGAACACUGAUGGCCCUGCCCCAGGACUUUUAUUUCAUACUUUUACUUAGUGUUUAUUCAGUUUCCUGGAGAAGAAUGCCCCAGUCCUCCAUUCCAGGUGAGUUCCUUUGAUGCACCUGGGAUCAGAGAGUUUAAAUAACACUGGUUUGUUUUUAAAGAUUUUGAAAGAAUGGGAGCCCUGCAGCUGAAAUUCCAAGGCAAGGACAGUACUGGCCAAGGUGAGGACCCAAUCAAAGGAGAGAGGCAAGAUUAGAACUAUUGUGAAGCUCCCAACCUGGUGAGAUACCUGGGAGGUAUUGCCAACCUCUUGCACUUCCCUGUUUCUCCCAGUGUUUACCAAACCAAUCUUGCAAGUUUAGAAACAGCAAUCUCUUCUUUGAUUCUGUUCCCUAUUGGCUGGACAUAGUAUGGAGGGCAGAAGACUCAAACAAAUCUACAGCUUGUUUGCAGUUACUGUCUGGGAUUUCCAUUAAGAAACAUAUUAUCUAAGUCCCAUGAAUGAAGUUCAUGAAUGAAAAAGGGACCAUUUAAAUACAAGGAAGGAGACUCAGCUUCCUAUCUUGGGCAAUUUUUAAGCUUGUCUCAGACCAUACUCCUGGAUCUAUUUAGAACCUGGGACCAGCUGUGCUGGCCACAAGCUCCUGAAAAUCUCAGGCUGUUUGGAGAGGAGAGUAAUCUACUUGUAUGUAGUUGGAGAACCCACUGAUGAGCAGUAGGAAAUAUUAAAGGUGUUGAAAAAGCCUACAUGAGCACAAUGACUAUACUCUGAUGUGGCCACUGGGAUAGUAGCACAAGAGUAGUGCCACAUGGUGGCCAAAAUAAUAUUCUAACUGGUUAACUAAUUGAUUACAUGACGGCCUGCUUCUCUGUAGAC